rnacentral:rRNA from 1 species
AGUGAACGCUGGCGGUAGGCCUAACACAUGCAAGUCGAACGGCAGCACAGUAAGAGCUUGCUCUUACGGGUGGCGAGUGGCGGACGGGUGAGGAAUACAUCGGAAUCUACUUUUUCGUGGGGGAUAACGUAGGGAAACUUACGCUAAUACCGCAUACGGCCUACGGGUGAAAGCAGGGGAUCUUCGGACCUUGCGCGAUUGAAUGAGCCGAUGUCGGAUUAGCUAGUUGGCGGGGUAAAGGCACACCAAGGCGACGAUCCGUAGCUGGUCUGAGAGGAUGAUCAGCCACACUGGAACUGAGACACGGUCCAGACUCCUACGGGAGGCAGCAGUGGGGAAUAUUGGACAAUGGGCGCAAGCCUGAUCCAGCCAUACCGCGUGGGUGAAGAAGGCCUUCGGGUUGUAAAGCCCUUUUGUUGGGAAAGAAAAGCAGCAGGUUAAUACCCCGCUGUUCUGACGGUACCCAAAGAAUAAGCACCGGCUAACUUCGUG